UACAGAGGGUGCAAGCGUUAAUCGGAUUUACUGGGCGUAAAGGGCGCGUAGGUUGUUGCGUAAGUGAGAUGUGAAAUCCCCGGGCUUAAACCUGGGACGUGCAUCUUAGACUGCGUAACUUGAGUGUAGUAGAGGGUAGUGGAAUUUCCGGUGUAGCGGUGAAAUGCGUAGAUAUCGGAAGGAACACCAGUGGCGAAGGCGGCUACCUGGGCUAACACUGACACUGAGGCGCGAGAGCGUGGGGAGCAACAGG
rnacentral:rRNA from 1 species